AUUGAACGCUGGCGGCAGGCCUAACACAUGCAAGUCGAACGAGUGGCGGACGGGUGAGUAAUGUCUGGGAAACUGCCUGAUGGAGGGGGAUAACUACUGGAAACGGUAGCUAAUACCGCCUACAAUCAGCUGUGCCCAGAUGGGAUGCUAUAGUUGGUGGGGUAACUGCUCACCAAGGCGACGCUCCCUAGCUGGUCUGAGAGGAUGACCAGCCACCCGGGAACUGAGACACGGUCCAGACUCCUACGGGAGGCAGCAGUGGGGAAUAUUGCACAAUGGGCGCAAGCCGGAUGCAGCCAUGCCGCGUGUAUGAAGAAGGCCUUCGGGUUGUAAAGUACUUUCAGCGGGGAGGCGUUACCCGCAUAAGAAGCACCGGCUAACUCCGUGCCAGCAGCCGCGGUAAUAC
rnacentral:rRNA from 1 species